CCGAGAUCGAAGCAUCACGGUUUGGCCGGAAUUAUCGAAGGAUCUCUGGCAAAUUCUCGAAGGUUUUAGGUCCAAAUCUUGAAACCGGCGAGUUGCAGCGGCACCGGCGACGGUCUCCGGCGAACCAAGGAAGAAGGAGGAGUAUACUCCGUCAAGUCUGACGGAAUAUGCUAACGGCGUCAGUUAUAUUAAACGGCGAGGCUUAUGCGGACGAUGAGCAAAGUUAAGGGAGGCUCGGGGGCUACGACCCUUCGACAUAUCUGUGUG